rnacentral:rRNA from 1 species
UACGGGAGGCAGCAGUGGGGAAUAUUGCGCAAUGGAGGAAACUCUGACGCAGUGACGCCGCGUGCAGGAAGAAGGUUUUCGGAUUGUAAACUGCUUUAGACAGGGAAGAAAAAGACAGUACCUGUAGAAUAAGCUCCGGCUAACUACGUGCCAGCAGCCGCGGUAAU